rnacentral:rRNA from 1 species
UACAGAGGGUGCGAGCGUUAAUCGGAAUUAUUGGGCGUAAAGCGUGCGUAGGUGGAUAUUUAAGUCAGAUGUGAAAUCCCCGGGCUCAACCUGGGAACUGCAUUUGAUACUGGGUAUCUGGAGUAUAGUAGAGGAAAGCGGAAUUCCCGGUGUAGCGGUGAAAUGCGUAGAUAUCGGGAGGAACAUCAAUGGCGAAGGCGGCUUUCUGGACUAAUACUGACACUGAGGCACGAAAGCGUGGGGAGCAAACAGG